AGGCCUGGGAGGAGGCAGGGGCCAGGCAGCAGGGGAGCAGCGGGAAGGGGGCCGGGGCACUGUGUUUCCAGCAGCUCAGCAGCAGGAACCGAUUUGCCGGCAAAAGCGCACGAUCGGAUUAUGCAGAAGAACCUCCUGCAGCUCCCACCAGGCCCGGACGCCCAGCCUCCUUCUUGGGCAGCACGAGCCAGCGUUUCGAGAGAUGCUCACAGUGAGGCCUGAGCUCACAGCUUUCCCUGUGACACAGUAGCAAAGACUUCAGUAUGCUGUUGAAAAGGAGUGGUGAGAGGUUUCGUCCUGACCUUGCACCUGACCUGAAUGGGGGAGCUCUGAGUUCCCCACUGAAAUGCUAAUGGAAUGUUGAAGGGCACCGAGUGAUGACAACCACGCAUCUUACUUCUGACUAAAGGAAGAAUACUUUGUUGUUGUUAAUCCUCACCGGAAUAUAUUUUUCCCAUU